CUCUCCUCUUGGUCGUCUUGCGGUGCUUGGCGUUGUCGGUGAGGCCGCGUGCCAGGAAGGUUCGGAUGCAAGGAGGGCGUUAAAGGACAGGUGUGGCCCGGCCUCCGAGGGGCCUCCUUAAAGAGGCCGGGUCCCCUCCGCUCGCCCCCUUCGCGGCCGCUGGCGCCCGCGAUGGGCCGGCCGAGAGGAGCGGUGAGGGCGCACCUGCGAAGUGUUUUCGGCCACGGCGCCUCCUUGUUCAAACUCCUCCUAAGUAACCGUUGUGACUCUUCUCCAGGAGGAUGAGAAUUUCCGCUGGGCAAGUCAGGUUGGCCCGGCCCUGCGGUGGUCACCGCCCUGUCGCUCCUGGCUGUCCCGAUGAUAUGGAAGAUGGAGGUGUGCUUUUCUCAAAGAAUUGAUCCAUUCACGACCGUUUAUCAGGUGUCUACAGUGUGUUCGGGCAUGUGCUGCAUUAGAGGGAAAUAAGAAAAGAGCUCCGAGUCCAGGUGUGGUGAGACAAGGUCAUGUUUAAGAGUUUCCAUUGAAGCCAUGUGACUGGAGUGAGUAUAGGUAUUUAAAAUAUUUAGAACCAUUGACCCUUGGAGUAUGAGAGACCUUGAAACUCUGUAUUACUGUUUCUCUCAUCCUUGUUCAGUGAACAUUGAUGAUGUUCCUUGAUCCAAGCCAUUACAUGUGCGGUUAUUUAGGAUUCAGUGACCUUUGGUGAUGUGCCUGUGGACUUCACCUUGGAGGAAUGGACUCUUCUGGACCCCUCUUAGAGAACCUUACGCAGAGAUGCAGUACUGGAUGGAGAACUCCCAGAACCUGAGUACGGUUAUCAACUCUUUAAACACACUUUUAUCUCAUGGUUGGAACAAGAAGAGUUGAGGACAAUGGAGAGAGGUAUUCCUCAGGGAAACAGAACAAAUCUUUUGGGGUGUUCCAGGAGCCCUCUGGAAAAAUGCCAG